rnacentral:rRNA from 1 species
ACGGGAGGCAGCAGUGGGGAAUCUUGCGCAAUGGGCGAAAGCCUGACGCAGCGACGCCGCGUGGGGGACGAAGGCCUUUCAGGUCGUAAACCCCUUUCGGCAGGGACGAAGCGAUCUCGUGACGGUACCUGCAGAAGAAGCCUCGGCUAACUACGUGCCAGCAGCCGCGGUAACACGUAGGAGGCGAGCGUUGUCCGGAAUCAUUGGGCGUAAAGAGCGCGCAGGCGGCCCGGCAAGUCGGGUGUGAAAUCUCGGGGCUCAACCCCGGAACUGCAUCCGAUACUGCCGGGCUAGAGGUAGGUAGGGGAGAUCGGAAUUCCUGGUGUAGCGGUGAAAUGCGCAGAUAUCAGGAGGAACACCGGUGGCGAAGGCGGAUCUCUGGGCCUUACCUGACGCUCAGGCGCGAAAGCUAGGGGAGCGAACAGGAUUAGAUACCCUGGUA